rnacentral:rRNA from 1 species
GACGAACGCUGGCGGCGUGCUUAACACAUGCGAGUCGAACGGAAAGGCCCUGCUUUUGUGGGGUGCUCGAGUGGCGAACGGGUGAGUAACACGUGAGUAACCUGCCCUUGACUUUGGGAUAACUUCAGGAAACUGGGGCUAAUACCGGAUAGGAGCUCCUGCUGCAUGGUGGGGGUUGGAAAGUUUCGGCGGUUGGGGAUGGACUCGCGGCUUAUCAGCUUGUUGGUGGGGUAGUGGCUUACCAAGGCUUUGACGGGUAGCCGGCCUGAGAGGGUGACCGGCUACAUUGGGACUGAGAUACGGCCCAGACUCCUACGGGAGGCAGCAGUGGGGAAUAUUGCACAAUGGGCGGAAGCCUGAUGCAGCAACGCCGCGUGCGGGAUGACGGCCUUCGGGUUGUAAACCGCUUUCGCCUGUGACGAAGCGUGAGUGACGGUAAUGGGUAAAGAAGCACCGGCUAACUACGUG